rnacentral:tRNA from 1 species
GCUUCUAUCGUUCAGCGGCAAAGACCCCCGGUUGUCAACCGGAAAACUGGAGUUCGAUUCUCCGUAGGAGCG